rnacentral:rRNA from 1 species
UACGGAGGGGGCUAGCGUUGUUCGGAAUUACUGGGCGUAAAGCGCACGUAGGCGGACCAGCAAGUUGGGGGGUGAAAUCCCGGGGCUCAACCCCGGAACUGCCUUCAAAACUGCGGGUCUGGAGGUCGAGAGAGGUGAGUGGAAUUCCGAGUGUAGAGGUGAAAUUCGUAGAUAUUCGGAGGAACACCAGUGGCGAAGGCGGCUCACUGGCUCGAUACUGACGCUGAGGUGCGAAAGCGUGGGGAGCAAACAGG